rnacentral:lncRNA from 1 species
CGAGAGCCUCUGUUUGUUGUGGUGACGGUCGCCACAACGGCUGCACCUGGGCAGCCCUGGGCUGCCUGGUCAUCUGGGCCCAGCUCUGAUGUCAGCAGCAGCCUGAGGCCUGUUUCUGGGCUGUCUCCAUGACGGCCUCACCCACUCCCUCUGACAGCUGGGUGGCUUCCCCAUGGAGCCUGUGGCCCUCCUGAUGCAGGCUUGGUGUCCCCAACAGGCCGGUGGAUGUAGAGGCCAGUCCAUAUACCACCCAGGCCUGCGAGGAGCAUGGUCCCCACCCAUCCAGCCCAUAUGUGCAAGUGCCCUUGACAGGAAAAUCCAAGAGGAAGAAGGAUCUACGGAUAUCCUGCAUGUCCAAGCCACCCGCACCAAACCCCACAACCCCCCGGAACCUGGACUCCCGGACCUUCAUCACCAUUGGAGACACAGUAGGUGCCAGCCGCCACCCCUGCAGGGCCUCUCACUUCACCUGACGAGCGGGUAGAGCUGACCCUGCAGGACCACUCUUGGGGGAGGUGACUGAGGGGUCAGAGAGGGUCAGGCUCUGGAGAAGAGCCUCAUCCUGCGCUGCUGCUGUGUGGCCCUGGGCCACCCACUCUUUGACCCUCCUGGUGGGAAUGAGGACCAUUGGCUGCCUGACUGGAGCUUGGCGAGCCCAGAGCUGGUAGGAAGGUUUCUGAGCUGAGAGCAAGGCCCUGCACCUCAUCCUAGCCCUAGGGGAGAGUAUUGAACAUGCAGGCUCCUAGGCCGCCCUGGACCCGCUGGAUCACUCCCUCAGGCCAGCACCUGGGAAACCUGCAUUUUAUGCUUCCAGAAGCCUCAGAAGGGCACUAGCCAUUCAGAAUCCUGGCUCAGGGACCGUGCUAUGCCCAGUUCCUCCCAACAGAAACCCUACUCCCAGGCCAGGUGCAGUGGCUCACACCUGUAAUCCCCACACUUUGGGAGGCCAAGGCAGGAGGAUCACUUGAGCCUAGGAGCUUGGGACCAGGCCUGGGCAACAUGGUGAAACCCUGUCUGUACAAAAAUACAAGAAAUUA